AGAAUCCGAUACGAACAGCGUCCUAUUCACUGCACCAUUCAUAUUCCAUGAAUGAUUGGAGGGGAAAAGGCUCGCGAGAUAAACUUUCAAAGAACUCCUCAUAGACCACUUUCAUAAACAGAUCUUUAUUCCUUUUUUUGGAGGAGUAAUGUAUCUUCAUUGAUCAUUGGUCACUAAGUUUUUGAUAUAUUU
rnacentral:snoRNA from 1 species